CGAAACCGAUAGCGAACAAGUACCGUGAGGGAAAGUUGAAAAGUACUCUGAAUAGAGAGUUAAAUAGUACGUGAAACCGCUUAGGGGUUAAGCCCGAUGAACCCGAAUAUCUGAUGUGAGAAAUUCAAUACUGUUCAUCAAACGGAUAGUAUGCACUUUUCUCAUAGUAAGACAUUGUAAUCCAUUGAUGCUAUAUCUUUUUCACUAUUGGGAAAGAUGAUUUAACAUACGGACAAGAUGUAUACGUUUAUUCUAUCAGUGAUGUGUUCACAUGUCAUAUGAAUAAGAUCGUUUUGUACCUGUUUGAAUAGUCGAUGGAUUUUAACUGAAUCAUGCUUGCAAUUUAUUUUGCGUUUCGUACUAUGUGCCCGGAAACGGGUGAAUGGUAGCAGAAAUGGCAUGCAUUCGAUUAACAAUGCGAUAGAUUUGGGAUACUUUCAGGACCCGUCUUGA
rnacentral:rRNA from 1 species